UACGAAGGGAGCUAGCGUUGUUCGGAAUCACUGGGCGUAAAGCGCACGUAGGCGGAUUUGCCAGUCAGGGGUGAAAUCCCGGGGCUCAACCUCGGAACUGCCUUUGAUACAGCACGUCUUGAGUCCGAUAGAGGUGGGUGGAAUUCCUAGUGUAGAGGUGAAAUUCGUAGAUAUUAGGAAGAACACUGGUGGCGAAGGCGGCCCACUGGAUCGGUACUGGACGCUGAGGUGCGAAAGCGUGGGGAGCAAACAGGG
rnacentral:rRNA from 1 species